rnacentral:rRNA from 1 species
AGUAACACGUGGAUAACCUACCUAUAAGACUGGGAUAACUUCGGGAAACCGGAGCUAAUACCGGAUAAUAUUUUGAACCGCAUGGUUCAAAAGUGAAAGACGGUCUUGCUGUCACUUAUAGAUGGAUCCGCGCUGCAUUAGCUAGUUGGUAAGGUAACGGCAUACCAAGGCAACGAUGCAUAGCCGACCUGAGAGGGUGAUCGGCCACACUGGAACUGAGACACGGUCCAG